rnacentral:tRNA from 1 species
UAAGAAAUAGGUAAACGAAUACCUUGGAAAUUUGAAUUCCACAUUAAGAGCUCAAAUCUCUUUUUCUUAU